rnacentral:lncRNA from 1 species
CAUGCACCCAACAGUGAUCCAUCCAGUCCUUCAUGCACUCUCCAUUGGUGAUAGGCAGUUCCCUUGGAGUCUGGUACCCUUCCAUCUGUAACACAGCCACAGGAUACAGAGGAUGCUGUGCUUCUGAUGGGUAGUAUGCUGCCACAGCAUGGCUUGAUAUGUGGUGUGUAGGCCCUUGCAUGGGAUCUGAACCUGUGGACCGUGGGCCGCCGAAGUGGAGCGUGCAAACUUAACUACUAAGCCACCAGAACACCAGCUCUGGGGGGAAACUGACUACCCUGAGACUACCACGCUGUGAAUAAGCCUAAGGAAGCCACACUGACAGGUCCUGGAAAGUGAGAUGCAUGUGGAGAGAGAGGAUGAGGACCACAGCGGUGCCGGACAUGAAUGUAAAGAAGCCAUCUUGGAAGUGUAUCCUAUAUGGAUCAGAGAUGCACCUCUCAGUUGAGUCCUUUCUAAAUUCCUCAUCCAUGAAAUUGUGAACAAAAUAAAAUAUUUAUUUUAAGCCACAAGGUUUUGGAGUAGUUUGUUAUGCAGCAAUACAUAGCCCGAAUAGUAGAGAUUUGAAGGAGGGAAUUUCAGAGAGGUGUGAGCGUGAAGAAAGAGGA